rnacentral:lncRNA from 1 species
AAAAAGACCAACCGAACCGAUGACAUGCUCAAAGAUGGUCUAAGCAAUCACCAAUUCACAGCCAUGGCUUAGCAUUCCUCUUUAGAAACUAUAUUCUAACAGGAACCUGCAAAAGUCACAUUCGAGUAACAAGCCUUUGUGCUUUCCAAUUCCAGACAAUCUUUUCUCCAUAAUGAAAUUAAAAUUGGACAGCAGUGGUUGCUACCCCACCCCUAAAAUAUCAUCUACAUAAUCAAAUUAAAACUGAAGACUUCAUUGAACCAAAUCACCAUAAUAGAUUUCUCUCAUUAAUAUUUCUCAAGUGUUUGUGAUCCUGCAAUCAACAUUUUUGCUCAUUUUCUUUUUUGAACGAAAAGAAGAAAUUUUAUUUCACAGCAGAAAACUAUACAUGAGAGAAAAAAACAAUAAUUCAAGCUACAUCUAACAACUAGAAAACUAAUCUCCAUGAUGAUGAAUUUAAUAUUUUGACCACUAUGGUUGGGCCUGCUGCUGAAACUAAUGGCUCCCCAACUAGAAAUGUCAGCUCCAUAAUGAAAUUCAAACAAGGUGUACAUUACCAUUCCAAUAAUGAAGAGACAGAGUCCUCUUGUAAUUGAGACAGCCUUCAACCAUAUCACUAUUAUAAAUUGAUUAUUUCUGAUCCAUAAUUAAUAGUUUACUAUUUGUGUGAUCCUGCAACAAACCCUUUGGCUCUAUAGAUAGAUAGAAAUUUAUACUUUAGGUUAAUGACUUAAAUGGUA